rnacentral:rRNA from 1 species
AUUGAACGCUGGCGGCAGGCCUAACACAUGCAAGUCGAACGAGUGGCGGACGGGUGAGUAAUUUAUGGGAAACUGCCCGAUGGAGGGGGAUAACUACUGGAAACGGUAGCUAAUACCGCAUACCAUCAGCUGUGCCCAGAUUGGAUUAGCUUGGUGGUGUGGUAACGGCUCACAAAGGCAACGAUCCCUAGCUGGUCUGAGAGGAUGACCAGCCACACUGGAACUGAGACACGGCCCAGACUCCUACGGGAGGCAGCAGUGGGGAAUAUUGCACAAUGGGCGCAAGCCUGAUACAGCCAUGCCGCGUGUAUGAAGAAGGCCUUCGGGUUGUAAAGUACUUUCAGCGGGGAGGCGGUAUCCGAAGAAGAAGCACCGGCUAACUCCGUGCCAGCAGCCGCGGUAAUAC